rnacentral:misc_RNA from 1 species
GAAAUGCGAUAAGUAGUGUGAAUUGCAGAAUUCAGUGAAUCAUCGAAUCUUUGAACGCACAUUGCGCCCCUUGGUAUUCCAUGGGGCAUGCCUGUUCGAGCGUCAUUUGUACCCUCAAGCUCUGCUUGGUGUUGGGUGUUUGUCCCGUCUCCGGGCGUGGACUCGCCCCAAAGUGAUUGGCAGCCGGCGUACUGGUCCCGGAGCGCAGCACAUGUCGCGCAAACGAGUGCCUUGGUACGGCGGCGUCCAUAAGCCCCUCUCUCACGCUCUUGACCUCGGAUCAGGUAGGGAUACCCGCUGAACUUAAGC